UACGUAGGGGGCAAGCGUUGUCCGGAAUCAUUGGGCGUAAAGCGCGUGUAGGCGGUUCGGUAAGUCGGCUGUGAAAGUCCAGGGCUCAACCCUGGGAUGCCGGUCGAUACUGCCGGACUAGAGUUCGGAAGAGGCGAGUGGAAUUCCCGGUGUAGCGGUGAAAUGCGCAGAUAUCGGGAGGAACACCAAUGGCGAAGGCAGCUCGCUGGGACGUUACUGACGCUGAGGAGCGAAAGCGUGGGGAGCCGAACGAGG
rnacentral:rRNA from 1 species